rnacentral:lncRNA from 1 species
GGAGGUGUGGUCCGCGAUCUCCGUUAGCUCCAAGGCGGAAGGAUCUGUCGUCCCACUGCAGUGUCGGGUUUCCGUUGUCAAAUAGGAAGUGAAGCCACGGGCCGCCAUCCUUAAGCAAUUCCCGCUAUCUCAGACUCCUGGUAUAGAUGGGAAGGGAUGUCCAUGGCUUAACUCCUGAGCUCCCUAGGUGGGGUCUGAACCUGGGCCCAAAGCAGUAGGGGGGGGGGAGGUCAUGCAGCACUGGGAAUGGUUUCUCAAAACCCUCACAUAGGUCGUCCGCUGACUUUGGUCGGGCUUACUGCCACCUCGAGGUAGCGGGAAGACCUGAGGAGUUGAGAUUCCCGGCUUGUGGUUGGAUAAAUGAGUUCCAGUGUAAAAUGGUGGUUUCCGUGAAAAGGACGUGUGAGAACGAAAUUAAUAGGGAAGCAUGCUCGUGGCAUCUUCAUUAAAGUCAGGGUGAGAAAGUCGUGAUGAACAUGCUUGUAAUCUCAGCAUUUGGGAGGCUGGGGCAGGAGGAUCAAGAGUUUGAGACCAGCCUGGGUUACACAGGGACACUUAAAAAAAAAAAAAAAAUCCACUUUGGAUUCUGGCAAGAAAGGCAGUCUGAAUGUUCCCAGCUGCCCAUUCCUAGUUGAUAUUUGUAACCUUCCGCUGCUGUCUUACCCCAACAUACACACUAAUUCAGCAAGGCACUGCAGAUUUGCAAAUUCCUUGGGAUCAUAUGAAACAAUUUUUAAAAAAUGCACUAGAUAAACAAUUACAAAAGGCAGUGUGUUUGGGUCUCUUUCCUAUUCCUCUUGCCAGAACCACAGACGGGAUGGUUUAUAAAGAAUAGAGGUUCCAGAGGCAGGGAUAUUCAAGAACUGUGUGCCAGCCUUCCUGCUGCAUCUUGAUGCGAUAGAGAGAGUCACAUGCCCAGACAGACAAGCCUGCCUGCUCAGAUCUCACUUCUUCCUGUAAAGCCACUGGUGGUGUUUAUGGAAAGUCCAUGCUGGAAUAGAGCUAACAAGGACUGGGCUCUGCCCUCAUCGCCUCAUUUGAAGAACCUCCUUCUACAAGCCUCAUUUCAAUUAGCAACUCCAAUUUAAGGAUUGAGUUUCCAAGGCAUGGACUUUUGGGUGUCUGCUGAAACCCUGGCAAAGAAGGACGGCAUGCCUACCUCCCUUCUAGCCUCCCCUCCUCUUUCUCUCUCCUCCUUUCUGUUUAAAGCAGAGAUCAAGGAAUAAAAGCAAGGAUUGUUCUAUGGCAUGAAAA